GCCCGAGUGGUGAAAUCGGUAGACACAAGGGAUUUAAAAUCCCUCGACGUUCGCGUCGUGCCGGUUCGAUUCCGGCCUCGGGCACCA
rnacentral:tRNA from 84 species